UAAGCGUACACGGUGGAUGCCCUGGCAGUCAGAGGCGAUGAAGGACGUGCUAAUCUGCGAUAAGCGUCGGUAAGGUGAUAUGAACCGUUAUAACCGGCGAUUUCCGAAUGGGGAAACCCAGUGUGAUUCGUCACACUAUCAUUAACUGAAUCCAUAGGUUAAUGAGGCGAACCGGGGGAACUGAAACAUCUAAGUACCCCGAGGAAAAGAAAUCAACCGAGAUUCCCCCAGUAGCGGCGAGCGAACGGGGAGCAGCCCAGAGCCUGAAUCAGUAUGUGUGUUAGUGGAAGCGUCUGGAAAGGCGCGCGAUACAGGGUGACAGCCCCGUACACAAAAAUGCACAUGCUGUGAGCUCGAUGAGUAGGGCGGGACACGUGGUAUCCUGUCUGAAUAUGGGGGGACCAUCCUCCAAGGCUAAAUACUCCUGACUGACCGAUAGUGAACCAGUACCGUGAGGGAAAGGCGAAAAGAACCCCGGCGAGGGGAGUGAAAAAGAACCUGAAACCGUGUACGUACAAGCAGUGGGAGCACGCUUAGGCGUGUGACUGCGUACCUUUUGUAUAAUGGGUCAGCGACUUAUAUUCUGUAGCAAGGUUAACCGAAUAGGGGAGCCGAAGGGAAACCGAGUCUUAACUGGGCGUUAAGUUGCAGGGUAUAGACCCGAAACCCGGUGAUCUAGCCAUGGGCAGGUUGAAGGUUGGGUAACACUAACUGGAGGACCGAACCGACUAAUGUUGAAAAAUUAGCGGAUGACUUGUGGCUGGGGGUGAAAGGCCAAUCAAACCGGGAGAUAGCUGGUUCUCCCCGAAAGCUAUUUAGGUAGCGCCUCGUGAAUUCAUCUCCGGGGGUAGAGCACUGUUUCGGCAAGGGGGUCAUCCCGACUUACCAACCCGAUGCAAACUGCGAAUACCGGAGAAUGUUAUCACGGGAGACACACGGCGGGUGCUAACGUCCGUCGUGAAGAGGGAAACAACCCAGACCGCCAGCUAAGGUCCCAAAGUCAUGGUUAAGUGGGAAACGAUGUGGGAAGGCCCAGACAGCCAGGAUGUUGGCUUAGAAGCAGCCAUCAUUUAAAGAAAGCGUAAUAGCUCACUGGUCGAGUCGGCCUGCGCGGAAGAUGUAACGGGGCUAAACCAUGCACCGAAGCUGCGGCAGCGACGCUGAUGCGUUGUUGGGUAGGGGAGCGUUCUGUAAGCCUGUGAAGGUGUGCUGUGAGGCAUGCUGGAGGUAUCAGAAGUGCGAAUGCUGACAUAAGUAACGAUAAAGCGGGUGAAAAGCCCGCUCGCCGGAAGACCAAGGGUUCCUGUCCAACGUUAAUCGGGGCAGGGUGAGUCGACCCCUAAGGCGAGGCCGAAAGGCGUAGUCGAUGGGAAACAGGUUAAUAUUCCUGUACUUGGUGUUACUGCGAAGGGGGGACGGAGAAGGCUAUGUUGGCCGGGCGACGGUUGUCCCGGUUUAAGCGUGUAGGCUGGUUUUCCAGGCAAAUCCGGAAAACUAAGGCUGAGGCGUGAUGACGAGGCACUACGGUGCUGAAGCAACAAAUGCCCUGCUUCCAGGAAAAGCCUCUAAGCAUCAGGUAACAUCAAAUCGUACCCCAAACCGACACAGGUGGUCAGGUAGAGAAUACCAAGGCGCUUGAGAGAACUCGGGUGAAGGAACUAGGCAAAAUGGUGCCGUAACUUCGGGAGAAGGCACGCUGAUAUGUAGGUGAAGUCCCUCGCGGAUGGAGCUGAAAUCAGUCGAAGAUACCAGCUGGCUGCAACUGUUUAUUAAAAACACAGCACUGUGCAAACACGAAAGUGGACGUAUACGGUGUGACGCCUGCCCGGUGCCGGAAGGUUAAUUGAUGGGGUCAGCGCAAGCGAAGCUCUUGAUCGAAGCCCCGGUAAACGGCGGCCGUAACUAUAACGGUCCUAAGGUAGCGAAAUUCCUUGUCGGGUAAGUUCCGACCUGCACGAAUGGCGUAAUGAUGGCCAGGCUGUCUCCACCCGAGACUCAGUGAAAUUGAACUCGCUGUGAAGAUGCAGUGUACCCGCGGCAAGACGGAAAGACCCCGUGAACCUUUACUAUAGCUUGACACUGAACAUUGAGCCUUGAUGUGUAGGAUAGGUGGGAGGCUUUGAAGUGUGGACGCCAGUCUGCAUGGAGCCGACCUUGAAAUACCACCCUUUAAUGUUUGAUGUUCUAACGUUGACCCGUAAUCCGGGUUGCGGACAGUGUCUGGUGGGUAGUUUGACUGGGGCGGUCUCCUCCUAAAGAGUAACGGAGGAGCACGAAGGUUGGCUAAUCCUGGUCGGACAUCAGGAGGUUAGUGCAAUGGCAUAAGCCAGCUUGACUGCGAGCGUGACGGCGCGAGCAGGUGCGAAAGCAGGUCAUAGUGAUCCGGUGGUUCUGAAUGGAAGGGCCAUCGCUCAACGGAUAAAAGGUACUCCGGGGAUAACAGGCUGAUACCGCCCAAGAGUUCAUAUCGACGGCGGUGUUUGGCACCUCGAUGUCGGCUCAUCACAUCCUGGGGCUGAAGUAGGUCCCAAGGGUAUGGCUGUUCGCCAUUUAAAGUGGUACGCGAGCUGGGUUUAGAACGUCGUGAGACAGUUCGGUCCCUAUCUGCCGUGGGCGCUGGAGAACUGAGGGGGGCUGCUCCUAGUACGAGAGGACCGGAGUGGACGCAUCACUGGUGUUCGGGUUGUCAUGCCAAUGGCACUGCCCGGUAGCUAAAUGCGGAAGAGAUAAGUGCUGAAAGCAUCUAAGCACGAAACUUGCCCCGAGAUGAGUUCUCCCUGACUCCUUGAGAGUCCUGAAGGAACGUUGAAGACGACGACGUUGAUAGGCCGGGUGUGUAAGCGCAGCGAUGCGUUGAGCUAACCGGUACUAAUGAACCGUGAGGCUUAACCUUACAACGCCGAAGCUGUU
rnacentral:rRNA from 1 species